rnacentral:lncRNA from 1 species
CUCCUUACCAAACUCUACAAAUAAUCUUCUGUCUUAAGAGCACCCAGGAUGUGUUUUCAUUGGAAUUAGCUAGCCCUGGGAAAGACAGUCCCUCCAGAGUUAGCAACACCCCAAGAUGUCAAAGAUAAAAAUGCAAAAAUUAAAACUCCAUGAUUAACACAACUUUGAAGUCCUUCUCACUUGUCUUUAGAUGAAGGGCAACAUCAUUGCAACAAGUCACACUUUGAGAACUCAAGAGAAUAUGUUUGUUCUGAAAAUCCAGGAAUUAUUGCCAACCCAUGGUUGUCUCCAUAUGUCUUGGGAAAAAUAGGAAAAGGAUUUUUUGAGUUGGUGAUUUGAAUCCAAGACACAAAGAUUCAGGCUCUGGUAAAAAGAUUGUAUAGGCUAUAUUGGCUGACAUAAAAGAGACAUAAAAGGCACACAAUGAAAUCUUAAUAAAUGUAUUGGAUGUUGCAGCAUUAACUGAUGAGCCAGACAAUGUAAAGACCUCAGACUACCAAAUGUUUUGAAAGACGAAUAGUGAAUGUGAAACUGUGAACCAAAAUAGAUUUUUAGAAUCCUUGAAAAAAUAGAGCUAGAGAAAGUCUUUGAGACCAUUGAUUGCAAAUAUUUGAGUUUACAACUGAGCAAAUGGAGAAAAGAGAAGUGACUCGUCAGUCCAACAAGUGGCAGAAUCAGAACCAGACCCCAAUGCUUGGGUCUUCUGUCCCUCCUGGCACCAAAGUCACCUAUCAUAAGUAACUUGAGUUUCAGAGGGGAAGGAAAAGACUACAAUGUCCCAGCACUGUUCCAGACACUUUUUAGGGGACUCCAAGACACCUUGUGUAAUGCCUAUUUUAAGUAGCUGGAAGAUUCUAUAGCAUGGGAAAAGCCCACUGAAGGCAAAAGUAAACAUUACCUAUUGUGGUCCUGGAAAAGAAAAUCAUCUCUCAUUUAUCUCCUGGAGCUGUUUGACGAACUUGUGCCCUGGUUUUACUUUGGGAGCCACCUUUCUCUUUCAGGUGCUGUCUCAGUGGAAUAGUCAACCAAUGUAUCCUACAUUUUGGACCAGCAGAAGGAAGUAAUGAGAACAGAAAACAAAUAAGAAGUGAGUUGGAGGGAGAAGGAGACUUUAGCAUCUUCCUGAAAUCAGGAAGAAAGUUUCAAGAAUAAAGUAAUCCAUAGGGUCAAAUACUGCAGUAAGUUUAAUUAGGAUGAAGACUGCAAAGAUGGUAUUAGUUUGGUACUUAGGACAUUGGUGACCUCCACAGGUGACUUUCAGGAGAAUUAUCUGGGGAACUUGUUGAUAGAAUUUGUGAAUCUCCACCUUUAGGGAUUCUGAUUUAGAAGGAGUAGGAAGAAGGCCUUAGGAUCUCCAUUUAUAACAACCACUACUGAUUAUUUUGAGGCAGGUAGCAUACAGACCACAUUUGAAAGAAACACUAGGUAAGUGUGAUUUUCAUUCAAAGGACAAAAAACAUAAAGUUACCUAAUUCAGGGACCAUUUCAAAGACCAAAUCAAAUCAGUAGCCUGGCUGAUCUGAUCGACUGCGCAGAAACUAGCCAUUACCAUGGCAAAGUGGGGAGGAACAGUCAAUAAAAAGCAAUUGAUGGCCAGGCGCGGUGGCUCACGCCUGUAAUCCCAGCACUUUGGGAGGCCAAGGCGGGCGGAUCACGAGG